UACGUAGGGUGCAAGCGUUAAUCGGAAUUACUGGGCGUAAAGCGUGCGCAGGCGGUGAUGUAAGACAGAUGUGAAAUCCCCGGGCUCAACCUGGGAACUGCAUUUGUGACCGCAUCGCUGGAGUGCGGCAGAGGGGGAUGGAAUUCCGCGUGUAGCAGUGAAAUGCGUAGAUAUGCGGAGGAACACCGAUGGCGAAGGCAAUCCCCUGGGCCUGCACUGACGCUCAUGCACGAAAGCGUGGGGAGCAAACAGG
rnacentral:rRNA from 1 species